rnacentral:rRNA from 1 species
AAAUGAAUAGACGGGGGCCCGCACAAGCGGAGGAACAUGUGGUUUAAUUCGAUGAUACGCGAGGAACCUUACCCGGGCUCGAACGGCAGAUGAAUUGAGUAGAGAUAUUCAAGUCUUCGGACAUCUGUCGAGGUGCUGCAUGGUUGUCGUCAGCUCGUGCUGUGAAGUGUCGGCUUAAGUGCCAUAACGAGCGCAACCCUUGCCGUUAGUUGCCAUCAGGUGAUGCUGGGGACUCUAGCGGGACUGCCACCGCAAGGUGUGAGGAAGGGGGGGAUGACGUCAAAUCAGCACGGCCCUUACGUCCGGGGCGACACACGUGUUACAAUGGUGGGUACAGAGGGAAGCUACCUGGCGACAGGAUGCAGAUCUCGAAAACCCAUCCCAGUUCGGAUUGGAGUCUGCAACCCGACUCCAUGAAGUUGGAUUCGCUAGUAAUCGCGCAUCAGCCAUGGCGCGGUGAAUACGUUCCCGGGCCUUGUACACACCGCCCGU